rnacentral:rRNA from 1 species
GCUAUUUAGGUAGCGCCUCGUGAAUUCAUCUCCGGGGGUAGAGCACUGUUUCGGCUAGGGGGCCAUCCCGGCUUACCAACCCGAUGCAAACUGCGAAUACCGGAGAAUGUUAUCACGGGAGACACACGGCGGGUGCUAACGUCCGUCGUGAAGAGGGAAACAACCCAGACCGCCAGCUAAGGUCCCAAAGUCAUGGUUAAGUGGGAAACGAUGUGGGAAGGCCCAGACAGCCAGGAUGUUGGCUUAGAAGCAGCCAUCAUUUAAAGAAAGCGUAAUAGCUCACUGGUCGAGUCGGCCUGCGCGGAAGAUGUAACGGGGCUAAACCAUGCACCGAAGCUGCGGCAGCGACGCUGAUGCGUUGUUGGGUAGGGGAGCGUUCUGUAAGCCUGUGAAGGUGGCCUGUGAGGGUUGCUGGAGGU